rnacentral:rRNA from 1 species
GUGGGGAAUUUUGGACAAUGGGCGCAAGCCUGAUCCAGCAAUGCCGCGUGUGUGAAGAAGGCCUUCGGGUUGUAAAGCACUUUUGGCAGGAAAGAAAUAGUGCGUGCUAAUACCAUGCGCGAAUGACGGUACCUGCAGAAUAAGCACCGGCUAACUACGUGCCAGCAGCCGCGGUAAGACGUAGGGGGCAAGCGUUAAUCGGAAUUACUGGUCGUAAAGCGUGCGCAGGCGGUUUUGUAAGACAGGUGUGAAAUCCCCGGGCUCAACCUGGGAAAUGCACUUAUGACUGCAAGGCUAGAGUGUGUCAGAGGGAGGUGGAAUUCCGCGUGUAGCAGUGAAAUGCGUAGAGAUGCGGAGGAACACCGAUGGCGAAGGCAGCCUCCUGGGAUAACACUGACGCUCAGGCACGAAAGCGUGGGGAGCAAACAGGAUUAGAUACCCCGGUAGUCC